CACGUUAUGGUGGGCACUCUAAGGAGACUGCCGGUGACAAACCGGACGGAAGGUGGGGAGUGACGUCAAGUCAUCAUGGCCCUUACGGCCUGGGCUACACACGUGCUACAAUGGUCGGUACAAAGGGUUGCCAAGCCGCGAGGUGGAGCUAAUCCCAUAAAACCGAUCGUAGUCCGGAUCGCAGUCUGCAACUCGACUGCGUGAAGUCGGAAUCGCUAGUAAUCGUGAAUCAGAAUGUCACGGUGAAUACGUUCCCGGGCCUU
rnacentral:rRNA from 1 species